UCUGUAGGCGGUGCGGCAAGUCGGGAGUGAAAUCUCAGGGCUUAACUCUGAGUCUGCUUUCGAAACUGCCGUGCUGGAGUGCGGGAGAGGUGAGUGGAAUUGCAGGUGUAGCGGUGAAAUGCGUAGAUAUCUGCAGGAACACCAGAGGCGAAGGCGGCUCACUGGACCGCAACUGACGCUGAGAGACGAAAGCUAGGGGAGCAAACAGGAUUAGAUACCCUGGUAGUCCUAGCCCUAAACCAUCAGGACUUGGCGUGGGUCCCCGUUCGGGGCCCGUGUCGGAGCUAACGCGUGAAGUCCUGCGCCUGGGGAGUACGGUCGCAAGGCUGAA
rnacentral:rRNA from 1 species